rnacentral:antisense_RNA from 1 species
UGAAUACUGAAGGGUUGGUAGGGGACCAGAGAAUAGAGGAAGCAUUGUAGGUUCUAGAGUGGAGAAGGGACCAUCCAAAAUGGAGUUUGAAAGAGAAUUCUGGCCUUUGUGUUUAGAGUCUGGAAUUGUCAAGAGUCUGAAAGCACAGAAUAAGACUGCAGCUAGAGCAAUUUAGGCGCCAUAGUUUGUCAAAACAGAGACGGGAUCUCACUGUGUUGCUCAGGCUGGUCUCGAACUGCUGGACUCAAGUCAUCCUCCCAUCUUGGCCUCCCAAAGUGCUGGAAUUACAGUGGACAACCUUCAAUGCACUGGUACUUUGUACCCUGACCUCUACUGUGAUGAACACUCAACUUGGGCAAGAAAGUGAAAUUCUCCAAAGGAAUUAUUAAGAUAAGGACCAGCAGUACAAUGAGCUUUUCACUGUAUGUCUGACCUGAAAGAAGAAAAUCUUUUCAGAGGACUCCUCUCUCCCCUUCAGUCGCCAAGACAAUGAGAGCUCUUGCUACAGAAUACUCAUGGUCAUUUCUUCCCCUGGCAUUCAUAAACUGACAUGGUUCCCAAGCACUACCUUGUUGGCUGAGAGAGAGUCCCCGCCUGUGUUGGGAGGCAGGCUGAGGGCUGCGACGGCUGCUGUGGUGAUUGCUGCUGCUGCAUGCGAUCCUGCAGGCUCCGUGCUUUUCGAAUACUGAUUUGCAACUUCUUAUCGACUAGGGCUCUGCUGUGCGUGCUACAGCUGGCACCAUGCAGGGCAAGUCUUAGUUUAGCUAAAAUGCAAAAGAAAAUAUAGCAGAAACAGAACACAAAACACAAAUAAAAAUAAAAAGAAUAAAAUUGAAAAAAAA